AUUGAACGCUGGCGGCAGGCCUAACACAUGCAAGUCGAACGGUAACAGGAAGAAGCUUGCUUCUUUGCUGACGAGUGGCGGACGGGUGAGUAAUGUCUGGGAAACUGCCUGAUGGAGGGGGAUAACUACUGGAAACGGUAGCUAAUACCGCAUAACGUCGCAAGACCAAAGAGGGGGACCUUCGGGCCUCUUGCCAUCGGAUGUGCCCAGAUGGGAUUAGCUAGUAGGUGGGGUAACGGCUCACCUAGGCGACGAUCCCUAGCUGGUCUGAGAGGUUGACCAGCCACACUGGAACUGAGACACGGUCCAGACUCCUACGGGAGGCAGCAGUGGGGAAUAUUGCACAAUGGGCGCAAGCCUGAUGCAGCCAUGCCGCGUGUAUGAAGAAGGCCUUCGGGUUGUAAAGUACUUUCAGCGGGGAGGAAGGGAGUAAAGUUAAUACCUUUGCUCAUUGACGUUACCCGCAGAAGAAGCACCGGCUAACUCCGUG
rnacentral:rRNA from 1 species